AUCUACCCAUGAUGAAGGUGUUCAAACUUUGCCACAGGGGUUCAAGGACAUUUUUAAGGGCUGUGGAAUAUAUUUUCAAAGAUUUGAAGAGGAAACCGAAUCAUAAAGAGGAUGCAACAUGUUUUUCUUCUAAAAGUUGAUAAAGCUCAAAUACACCAUUAAAUUCCUUUUACAUAAUUUAGGCUCCACACCCAACAUGGGGCUUGAACUCACAACCCUGAGAUCAAGGCUCACAUGCUCCACCGAUUGAGCCAGCCAUGUCCUCCUCUAGAAUUUUCUCAUCUUGCAAAACUAAAAAACUAAACUCCAUACCCACAGAAAAACAACUCUCCAUUUCUCUCUCUUCCAAGCCCGUGGCAACCACCAUUCUACUGUUCCCACAACUGUAACGGGAAGUUUGGAAUCAUGAUUGUGACUGAGGGUUACUCUAGUAUCUCCUAUAAGUGGAAUCAUACCAUAUUUGUCCUUUGGUGAUUUAUUUCACUUGGUAUAAUGUCCUCCAGGUUCAUCCAUGUUGUAGCAUGUGACAGGAUUUCCUUCUUUUUAAAAUGAAUAAAAAGAAGGUGUAUCGACACCACACUUUAUUCAUCUGUUGAUGGACAUUUGUGAUGCUUCCAUGUCUUUGAUAUUGUGAAUACUGCUGCAAUAAACAUGGGUGUGCAAAUAUUUCUUCAAAA